rnacentral:rRNA from 1 species
CCCUUAGAUGUUCUGGGCCGCACACGCGCUACAAUGGCAAAGUCAACGAGCUAAUCCUAUGCUGACAAGCACAGGUAAUCUUUUCAGUCUUUGUCGUGAUGGGGAUAGACCCUUGUAAUUAUUGGUCUCCAACGAGGAAUUCCUAGUAAACGCAAGUCAUCAACUUGCAUUGAUUACGUCCCUGCCCUUUGUACACACCGCCCGUCGCGCCUACCGAUUGAAUGGUCCGGUGAAGUCUUCGGACCGAUGCUAACUCGUUGGCAACGGAAAGUCGAGUAAACCUUACCAUUUAGAGGAAGGUGAAGUCGUAACA